rnacentral:rRNA from 1 species
AUUGAACGCUGGCGGCAGGCUUAACACAUGCAAGUCGAGCGGGGAAAGGUAGCUUGCUACCUGACCUAGCGGCGGACGGGUGAGGAAUGCUUAGGAAUCUGCCUAUUAGUGGGGGACGACAUUCCGAAAGGAAAGCUAAUACCGCAUACGCCCUACGGGGGAAAGCAGGGGAUAUUCGGACCUUGCGCUCAUAGCUGAGCCUAAGUAAGAUUAGAUAGUUGGUGGGGUAAAGGCCUACCAAGGAGACGAUCUGUAGCGGGUCUGAGAGGAUGAUACGCCACACUGGGACUGAGACACGGCCCAGACUCCUACGGGAGGCAGCAGUGGGGAAUAUUGGACAAUGGGCUAAAGCCUGAUCCAGCCAUGCCGCGUGUGUGAAGAAGGCCUUUUGGUUGUAAAGCACUUUAAGCGAGGAGGAGGCUACUUGGAUUAAUACUCUAGGAUAGUGGACGUUACUCGCAGAAUAAGCACCGACUAACUCUGUGCCAGCCGCCGCAGUAAAAC